rnacentral:rRNA from 1 species
UAAUUUGUAGAGGAUGCUUCGGGCAAGGCUGUGGUCUAAUUUGCUUGGAACAGCAGGUCAUAGAGGGUGAGAGUCCCGUCUAGGAUCGUGAGCCGCGUCCAUGUGAAGCUCCUUCGACGAGUCGAGUUGUUUGGGAAUGCAGCUCUAAAUGGGUGGUAAAUUUCAUCUAAAGCUAAAUAUUGGCCAGAGACCGAUAGCGCACAAGUAGAGUGAUCGAAAGAUGAAAAGCACUUUGAAAAGAGAGUUAAACAGUAUGUGAAAUUGUUGAAAGGGAAGCGCUUGCAAUCAGACUUGUGUGUGACGGUUCCCCMGGCCCUCGGGCCGGGCUAUUCCGUCACGUCCAGGCCAGCAUCGGUCUGGGUGGUCGGUUAAAGACCCCGGGAAUGUAUCUACCUUCGGGUCGACUUAUAGCCCGGGGUGCAAUGCGGCCCACCCGGACCGAGGAACGCGCUUCGGCUCGGAUGCUGGCGUAAUGGUUGUAAGCGGCCCGUCUUGAAACACGGACCANGGAGUCUAACAUCUAUGCGAGUGUUUGGGUGUCAAACCCCUACGCGUAAUGAAAGUGAACGGAGGUAAGAACCCUUAACCGGGCGCAUUAUCGACCGAUCCUGAUGUCUUCGGAUGGAUUUGAG